UACGAAGGGGGCUAGCGUUGUUCGGAAUUACUGGGCGUAAAGCGCGCGUAGGCGGACUGACAAGUCGGGGGUGAAAUCCCGAGGCUCAACCUCGGAACUGCCUUCGAUACUGUCAGUCUUGAGGUCGGGAGAGGUGAGUGGAACUCCGAGUGUAGAGGUGAAAUUCGUAGAUAUUCGCAAGAACACCAGUGGCGAAGGCGGCUCACUGGCCCGAUACUGACGCUGAGGCACGAAAGCGUGGGGAGCAAACAGG
rnacentral:rRNA from 1 species